GACGUAGGGCGCGAGCGUUGUCCGGAUUUAUUGGGCGUAAAGAGCUCGUAGGCGGCUUGUUGCGUCGGCUGUGAAAUCCCAUGGCUCAACUGUGGGCUUGCAGCCGAUACGGGCGGGCUAGAGUUCGGUAGGGGAGACUGGAAUUCCUGGUGUAGCGGUGAAAUGCGCAGAUAUCAGGAGGAACACCAAUGGCGAAGGCAGCUCGCUGGGACGUGACUGACGCUGAGACGCAAAAGCGUGGGGAGCAAACAGG
rnacentral:rRNA from 1 species